UGAUGGUUCCAGUGAGAUAUGUUUGAUAUUCUUGGUUGUUUCAUUCAAAAGUUCACCCAGGAAUCAAACAUAUUAUUACUGUAGCCUUCG
rnacentral:pre_miRNA from 13 species